rnacentral:rRNA from 1 species
GGGGAAUUUUGGACAAUGGGCGCAAGCCUGAUCCAGCAAUGCCGCGUGCAGGAUGAAGGCCUUCGGGUUGUAAACUGCUUUUGUACGGAACGAAAAGCCUCUCUCUAAUACAGGGGGGUGAUGACGGUACCGUAAGAAUAAGCACCGGCUAACUACGUGCCAGCAGCCGCGGUAAUACGUAGGGGGCAAGCGUUAUCCGGAUUUACUGGGCGUAAAGCGUGCGUAGGCGGCUUUUUAAGUCGGAUGUGAAAUCCCCGAGCUUAACUUGGGAAUUGCAUUCGAUACUGGGAAGCUAGAGGAUGGGAGAGGAUGGUAGAAUUCCAGGUGUAGCGGUGAAAUGCGUAGAGAUCUGGAGGAAUACCGAUGGCGAAGGCAGCCAUCUGGCCUAAUACUGACGCUGAGGUACGAAAGCAUGGGGAGCAAACA